GAUGAACGCUGGCGGCGUGCCUAAUACAUGCAAGUCGAGCGAACGGACGAGAAGCUUGCUUCUCUGAUGUUAGCGGCGGACGGGUGAGUAACACGUGGAUAACCUACCCAUAAGACUGGGAUAACUUCGGGAAACCGGAGCUAAUACCGGAUAAUAUUUUGAACCGCAUGGUUCAAAAGUGAAAGACGGUCUUACUGUCACUUAUGGAUGGAUCCGCGCUGCAUUAGCUAGUUGGUAAGGUAACGGCUUACCAAGGCAACGAUGCAUAGCCGACCUGAGAGGGUGAUCGGCCACACUGGAACUGAGACACGGUCCAGACUCCUACGGGAGGCAGCAGUAGGGAAUCUUCCGCAAUGGGCGAAAGCCUGACGGAGCAACGCCGCGUGAGUGAUGAAGGUCUUCGGAUCGUAAAACUCUGUUAUUAGGGAAGAACAUAUGUGUAAGUAACUGUGCACAUCUUGACGGUACCUAAUCAGAAAGCCACCGCUAACUACGUGCCAGCAGCCGCGGGUAAUACGUAGGUGGCAAGCGUUAUCCCGGAAUUAUUGGGCG
rnacentral:rRNA from 1 species